rnacentral:rRNA from 1 species
UACGAAGGGGGCUAGCGUUGCUCGGAAUCACUGGGCGUAAAGCGCACGUAGGCGGAUUGCUAAGUCGGACGUGAAAAUCCCCAGGCUCAACCUGGGAACUGCGUCCGAUACUGGAUGGCUUGAAUUCGGGAGAGGGAUGCAGAAUUCCAGGUGUAGCGGUGAAAUGCGUAGAUAUCUGGAGGAAUACCGGUGGCGAAGGCGGCAUCCUGGACCGACAUUGACGCUGAGGAGCGAAAGCUAGGGGAGCAAACGGG